rnacentral:rRNA from 1 species
UAAUCCUGCCCUUCGAUGGGAAUAACCUCGCGAAAGCGAGGCUAAUUCCGCAUAACAUUCCGAUGAUUUAGGUUGUUGGAUUCAAAGCCGUAAGGCGUCGGAGGAGGAGCCCGCGCACGAUUAGCUAGUUGGUGAGGUAACGGCUCACCAAGGCUAUGAUCGUUAGCUGGUCUGAGAGGAUGAUCAGCCACACUGGGACUGAGACACGGCCCAG